AACACUGGAGCCCAUUCUUCUUACCUGUCCUGAAAGGUACAAAAAAAGAAACCCGAAAGACAGUGAAGACUGACAAACACAUGCAAGGAUGAAAGACUGGAAGCAUUCCUUGAAAGAAAACAGUUUGCUUGUUUGCUGUUAUCCAAAAGGGACUGGCCAAGACGGUGGAGCAGAAAGACAGACCCUGAGAUCACCUCCUCCCAUGAGCACACCAAAAUUACAACUAUUUGCAAAGCAACAAUUAGUGAAAAAGAUCGGAACCUACCAGAAAAGAUCUAUAACUAAAGAUAC